rnacentral:rRNA from 2 species
AUGCAAAGAACUUUGAAAAGAGAGUUAAAGAGUACCUGAAAUUGCUGAAAGGGAAGCGAAGGAAACCAGUGUUUGCUUGGUCAUAUUUCCCUGACCGCUUGCGGUUUGGGCGCUGUGUCCGGCUUGUGUUGCGCUUGGUUGGAAUUUUCGGAAGAGCGCUGUUAGAGUUGAUUUCAGUUGCUAGCGUUAAUUCUGACUGAGCGGGACGAAAUGGUUUUCUUUACCCCGUCUUGAAACACGGACCAAGGAGUCUAACAUAUGUGCGAGUACAGGGGUGUCAAACUCCCGUGCGCAAUGAAAGUGACAGUGGUUGGAUAUUUGCACAAUCCGCCGGCCUCAAUCCCUCGGGAGAACGGUCUGAGUGUGAGCAUACAUGUUGCGACCCGAAAGAUGUGUGAACUAUGCCUGAAUAGGGUGAAGCCAGGGGAAACUCUGGUGGAGGCUCGUAGCGAUUCUGACGUGCAAAUCGAUCGUCAAAUUUGGGUAUAGGGGCGAAAGACUAAUCGAACCAUCUAGUAGCUGGUUCCCUCCGAAAUUUCCCUCAGGAUAGCUGCGAUCGGAGUUCAAUUUUAUCA